ACACCUGUUGUAUUCAGCAUUUCACUGUGAGGUCUACUACACCUGUUGUAUUCAGCAUUUCACUGUGAGGUCUACUACACCUGUUGUAUUCAGCAUUUCACUGUAAGGUCUACUACACCUGUUGUAUUCAGCAUUUCACUGUAAGGUCUACUACACCUGUUGUAUUCAGCAUUUCACUGUAAGGUCUACUACACCUGUUGUAUUCAGCAUUUCACUGUAAGGUCUACUACACCUAUUGUAUUCAGCAUUUCACUGUAAGGUCUACUACACCUGUUGUAUUCAGCAUUUCACUGUGAGGUCUACUACACCUGUUGUAUUCAGCAUUUCACUGUGAGGUCUACUACACCUGUUGUAUUCAGCAUUUCACUGUGAGGUCUACUACACCUGUUGUAUUCAGCAUUUCACUGUAAGGUCUACUACACCUGUUGUAU